UAUCCAUUGUGGGGGAAAAGGGUUUGUAACUAUUUAUAUCUCUCCCAGGCUUAGUAUAAGGUUUCGCUAUCCUUUUGGGCAAAUGAGGAAAUUUGCUUCUUAAGGGC
rnacentral:snoRNA from 1 species